UACGUAGGGGGCUAGCGUUGUCCGGAAUCAUUGGGCGUAAAGCGCGUGUAGGCGGUCCGGUAAGUCCGCUGUGAAAGUCGGGGGCUCAACCCUCGGAUGCCGGUGGAUACUGUCGGGCUUGAGUACGGAAGAGGCGAGUGGAAUUCCUGGUGUAGCGGCGAAAUGCGCAGAUAUCAGAAGGAACACCAAUUGCGAAGGCAGCUCGCUGGGACGUUACUGACGCUGAGACGCGAAAGCGUGGGGAGCAAACAGG
rnacentral:rRNA from 1 species